rnacentral:rRNA from 1 species
AGAGUUUGAUCCUGGCUCAGAUUGAACGCUGGCGGAAUGCUUUACACAUGCAAGUCGAACGGCAGCACGGGGCAACCUGGUGGCGAGUGGCGAACGGGUGAGUAAUACAUCGGAACGUGCCCAAUCGUGGGGAUAACGUAGCGAAAGUUACGCUAAUACCGCAUACGAUCUACGGAUGAAAGCGGGGGAUCGCAAGACCUCGCGCGAAUGGAGCGGCCGAUGUCAGAUUAGGUAGUUGGUGGGGUAAAGGCUCACCAAGCCAACGAUCUGUAGCUGGUCUGAGAGGACGACCAGCCACACUGGAACUGAGACACGGUCCAGACUCCUACGGGAGGCAGCAGUGGGGAAUUUUGGACAAUGGGCGCAAGCCUGAUCCAGCCAUUCCGCGUGCAGGAUGAAGGCCUUCGGGUUGUAAACUGCUUUUGUACGGAACGAAAAGGUCCUGGUUAAUACCUGGGGCUCAUGACGGUACCGUAAGAAUAAGCACCGGCUAACUACGUG